ACGCUGGCGGCGUGCUUAACACAUGCAAGUCGAACGAUGAAGCCUAGCUUGCUAGGUGGAUUAGUGGCGAACGGGUGAGUAAUACGUGAGUAACCUACCUUUAACUCUGGGAUAAGCCUGGGAAACUGGGUCUAAUACCGGAUACGACCAAUCUCCGCAUGGGGUGUUGGUGGAAAGCGUUAUGUAGUGGUUAUAGAUGGGCUCACGGCCUAUCAGCUUGUUGGUGAGGUAACGGCUCACCAAGGCGACGACGGGUAGCCGGCCUGAGAGGGUGACCGGCCACACUGGGACUGAGACACGGCCCAGACUCCUACGAGAGGCAGCAGUGGGGAAUAUUGCACAAUGGGCGCAAGCCUGAUGCAGCGACGCCGCGUGAGGGAUGACGGCCUUCGGGUUGUAAACCUCUGUUAGCAGGGAAGAAGAGAAAUUGACGGUACCUGCAGAGAAAGCGCCGGCUAACUACGUGCCAGCAGCCGCGGUAAUACGUAGGGCGCGAGCGUUGUCCGGAAUUAUUGGGCGUAAAGAGCUUGUAGGCGGUUUGUCGCGUCUGCUGUGAAAGGCCGGGGCUUAACCCCGUGUAUUGCAGUGGGUACGGGCAGACUAGAGUGCAGUAGGGGAGACUGGAAUUCCUGGUGUAGCGGUGGAAUGCGCAGAUAUCAGGAGGAACACCGAUGGCGAAGGCAGGUCUCUGGGCUGUAACUGACGCUGAGAAGCGAAAGCAUGGGGAGCGAACAGGAUUAGAUACCCUGGUAGUCCAUGCCGUAAACGUUGGGCACUAGGUGUGGGGGACAUUCCACGUUUUCCGCGCCGUAGCUAACGCAUUAAGUGCCCCGCCUGGGGAGUACGGCCGCAAGGCUAAAACUCAAAGAAAUUGACGGGGGCCCGCACAAGCGGCGGAGCAUGCGGAUUAAUUCGAUGCA
rnacentral:rRNA from 1 species